rnacentral:rRNA from 1 species
UACGGAGGGUGCGAGCGUUGUCCGGAAUCACUGGGCGUAAAGGGCGCGUAGGCGGCCUGAUAAGUAGGGGGUGAAAUCCUGCGGCUUAACCGCAGGGCUGCCUUCUAAACUGUCAGGCUAGAGCACAGUAGAGGCAGGUGGAAUUCCCGGUGUAGCGGUGGAAUGCGUAGAGAUCGGGAGGAACAUCCGUGGCGAAGGCGGCCAUCUGGAUCAACACUGACGCUGAGGCACGAAAGCGUGGGGAGCAAACAGG